CCUACGGGAGGCAGCAGUGGGGAAUUUUGGACAAUGGGGGCAACCCUGAUCCAGCCAUGCCGCGUGCGGGAAGAAGGCCUUCGGGUUGUAAACCGCUUUUGUCCGGAAAGCGGUACCGGAAGAAUAAGCACCGGCUAACUACGUGCCAGCAGCCGCGGUAAUACGUAGGGUGCGAGCGUUAAUCGGAAUUACUGGGCGUAAAGCGUGCGUAGGCGGUCCGCAAAGUCUGAUGUGAAAGCCCCGGGCUCAACCUGGGAACUGCAUUGGAAACUAACGGGCUCGAGUGUGGCAGAGGGGGGUGGAAUUCCACGUGUAGCAGUGAAAUGCGUAGAGAUGUGGAGGAACACCGAUGGCGAAGGCAGCCCCCUGGGCUAAACUGACGCUCAGGCACGAAAGCGUGGGGAGCAAACAGGAUUAGAUACCCUUGUAGUC
rnacentral:rRNA from 1 species